rnacentral:lncRNA from 1 species
ACUGAAAUCAGAAUAUACAGAAAGCUGUUCACUCCACCCAAGCCUAGGAGGGCUUUUCCACCAACCUCAGAGGAAAAUCUGCAGAACAUAUUCAAAAGUGUUCCAAAUAUCUAUUGCUGAGUCACAAAUCACCCCAGAACUUAGUGAACUAAAGUUCACAACAGCAAUCCUUUUAUUAUCUCUCGUAGUUUCUGAGGUCCAGGAAAUCAGGAUGGGCUCAGUUGGGUGGUUCUGGCUCAGGAAGGAUCUCAUAAAGUUGUAGUCAGAUGGAGGCUGAUGUUGGAAUGGCUCAAGACUGGAACAGCUAGGGAUGGCCAAGUGUCUCUCUUCAUAUAGUCUCAGGGCCUCUCCAUGUGGUCUCUUCAUGUGUGACAGCUUGUGCUUCCUAACAGCAUGGCAGCUUGAGGAUGGCUAGUCUACUUAUAUGGCAGCUCGGGCCUCCAAGCUAUGAGCAAGCCACAGGCCCAACAGAUUCAAAGACACAGGACAC